GCCAGAUAAGGGAAGCAGGCCUCCGAAGCCAGCAGUGGCAACCCACUUGGGUCCCUUUCAAUGCUGUGGAAGCGUUGUUCUUUCACUCUUCUCAAUAAAUCUUGCUGCUGCUCACUCUUUGGGUCUGCCCCGCUGUUAUGAGCUGUAACACUCACAGCCAGUGUCUGCAGUUUCACUCCUGAAGCCAGCAAGACCACAAACCCACAGGGCGGGACAAACAACUCCGGACAGGAGGAAUGAACAACUCUGGACGCGCCACUUCUAUGAACUUUUAUGAACUGUAACACUCACCGCAAAGGUCUGCAGCUUCACCCCUGAGGCCAGGGAGACCACGAACCCACCGGAAGGAAUGAACAACUCCAGACGCACUGCCUUUAAGAGCUGUAACACUUACCACGGAUGUCUGCAGCUUCACUCCUGAAGUCAGCGAGACCACAAACCCAACAGAAGGAAGAAACUCCCGACACAUCUGAACAUCUGAAGGAACAAACUCUGGACACACCAUCUUUAAGAACUGUAACACUCACCGUGAGGGUCAACCGCUUCAUUCUUGAAGUCAGCCAGACCAAGAACCCACCAAUUCCGGCUGAAGUGGAGUGUCAUGAUCUUGGCUCAUUGCAGCCUCCUCCUCCCAAGUUCAAGCAAUUCUCCUGCCUCAGCCUCCCGAGUAGUUGGAAUUACAGGUACGCACCACCAUGCCCAGCUAAUUUCUGUAUUUUUUUUAGCAGAGACGGGGUUUCAGCAUGCUGGCCAAGCUGGCCUUGAACUCCUGACCUCAAGUGAUCCUCCUGCCUCAGCCUCCCAAAGUGCUGGGUUUACAAGCAUGAGCCACUGUGCCUGGUCUUUAAUCUUCUUAAUAAGUUGUCAAAAUCUAAUAUUAGCAUAUGUUAUAAAAAGGUAGAACUCUUCUCUGUAUGGUAAAAAAUACAGUCAUACGGUAAAAAAGGAGAACAAGUCAUUAUUGGCAAUGAGAGAAAAAGUAAAGAAAAUCUACUUAUUAAAAAUUUUUCUGUGGACUAGAAAAAUGGCCAGCCAUGAAUGUCAUUUAAAAGUUAUUAUAUAAUGAACAUUCAUGUAAUGAUUGCUUUUGUCAAGGAAUAAAACAUUGCCAGUCCUUCCAAUACACCUUCCUGACUGACACCCUCCCGUCUUACAAAGAUUAGCCUUAACAUGAUUUUUAUGGGAAUUGAUUUCUCAGUUGUCUUUUCAGCUUUAACUUCCAUGUAUAUGUCCUUUAACAAUAUAAUUUGUUUUGUCUUGUUUUGUUUUGUUGUAAAGAUUAUAUAAAUGGUGCAUUCAGUAUAUGCCUUUUGUUCUGACAGCUUCUCUUCAGUAAUGUGGUUCUAAGAUUCAUUAACGUUUUUGUUAGUAGCUCUAUUUUGUUAAUGUUGACUGUCUAUACUAUUCUUUUAUAUGCAUACCAUCACAAUUCAUUUAUUUUUUGAUUGCUGAAUAUUUACGUUGUCAUCAAAUUGUCACCAUUUUAAGUAAUAUUGCAGUUAAUAUUUUUCAGUAUGUAUCCCUAUAUAGGUAUGAGUAUAUAACAUACAAAUACAGAUGUAAAAUCUCUGGGUUAUAGGGUAUAGAUUUCCUCAACAUAAUGAAAUAAAUACAGUGUUUGUUAAAAUAACAAUUUCAGUUUACAUUCUCACCAGUGGUAUGUGAGAGUUGUUGUUGCUGUUGUCAGUUUUUAAAAUUUUUAUCAAUUUUUGUUAAAUUCUGUUGUGAUUUAAUUUGCAUCUCCCUAAAUACCGUUGAAGUUAUAGGUUUGUCAUAUGUUCGUUGGCCAUUUAGAUUUCCUUUAUUUAUUUAUUUUUUUUUUGGAAGUGAGAGUUCAAGCUUUAGCUCAUAUUAUUUUCUUUUGGGCUGUUCUUUUUUAAAAAUUUAAUUACAAAGGGACUCUGUACAUUUUGAGUAUUAGUGCUUUUAGGUGAUAUUAAUUGCAGAUAUUUUCUUCCAGUUUUGAUUUGAUUUUUCACUAUCUCUCUGUUAUGUUUUGAUACAGAAGUUCUUUGAUUUAAGUGUUUGUUGUCCAAAUUUGCCAUGUUUUUCUUAGUAAAAUUCAUUAUUUCUUCUUUA
rnacentral:lncRNA from 1 species